UACGAAGGGGGCUAGCGUUGUUCGGAAUCACUGGGCGUAAAGAGCGCGUAGGCGGUGAUAUAAGUCAGAGGUGAAAUCCCGGAGCUCAACUUCGGAAUUGCCUUUGAAACUAUAUCGCUGGAGUCUUGAAGGGGGUGGUGGAAUUUCUAGUGUAGGGGUGAAAUCCGUAGAUAUUAGAAGGAACACCAGUGGCGAAGGCGGCCACCUGGUCAAGUACUGACGCUGAGGCGCGAAAGCGUGGGGAUCAAACAGG
rnacentral:rRNA from 1 species